AAGCAGAGGAGCGGGUGGUGAGGCGGGGCGGCUGCCGGCAGGAUGUGGGCCGGGACGGAGCUGAGUGACACGGCGGGGAGCGGAGGUGGUGCCGCGGGGAGUUCCUCAGGGGAAGGCAGCAGUCGGCCUGUGCUCGUCCUGGUAAUCCCUCAGCCCCGCCCCGGAGGCCUGCGGGCUCCCACUGGUAGCUGCGCGGGGUCAGAUGUGGCAGCAGGCUGCGUGCCCGCGAGCCCUCCGCUGCUGGAGCACGCGGGCAUCUAUCUACACACUGAGAACGGUUAAAAUCAACAUCUUUUUACGUACAGGCAAUGGUUAGACGCAGACUGCUGUAGGAGCCCGCUGCCCAGUGUCUCGAACUUGUUACAUCAAGGCCUUGACUUCACUGCCUGACCUAUUCACAAAUUUCUGACAGUCAGGUGAACUGCUGCCCUACGGAAGCAUUGCGCUGCAGGAGCAGUUUCCUUUUCUGAGCUGCAUGCUAGCACUGCAGACUGGUCUCCAGUAGGCUAGCUGUAUACUGACUUGCACGUCUCCACUGCCAGAGAGUCUGAGUCUGCACUGGCACUCCGGGAGCUCCAGAAGAUCUCCGAAAGGCUCCCUCUGCAGUGACUGCUAUGCACUUUGCUACUGCUGAGCAUUCUCACCAACCUGGAAUGAGGUCUGAGGUAGCCGAAGAGAAUAAGAAUAGAGUAACUUUUUGAAAAUUAGUUAGAAAACAGAAGACCUGGUGAUGCUACAAAUACUUUAACUAAGAAGGAAUGUAUCUGCUGGCUUUAAACUGGCUCAGUUUUCGUUUUCCCAUGUUCAAAAGGCUUAUAAGAAAUAUAACUGCACUCUAAAGCAAAACUGGAAGUUAAAUAAUUAACUGCCGUGGGGAUAUCUUUAACGUGUAUUGUAAACAGUGUAGGCUGUUCAAAGUAUGGCUUUAAAACUCAAAUUUUGCAAUUUAUCCUGUGUCAAAGCAAUGAAAUGUGUUCAGAUGCUGACAAAAUGACAAGGAGACACGCAAAUUAACCGACAGCCAUUCAUUUCACCACAUAACAGGAUGCUAAACUUCCACUGACUUUUAUGGUACUUAAUUGGCCAGAUCAAGCACUCCUUAAUUACUAGCAAUAUUAACUGCAACCCAGGUCUUGUACUUCAGGCAGAAAUCUCUAUGAUUGAUAUCACACAGGCACAACAACUGCUGCCUACAAAAUCAUCAAGUAUUCAGUUCCUAAAUAGGUCAAGGUAUUUCAAGUCCUCGAAAAUACCACUUCCCCACU